rnacentral:lncRNA from 1 species
AAGUUGAAGAAGACUAUGCGGGGCAAGAUACUCGUUUAACAGGCCUAGAGAGUAUCAGCGGAUUGCAGCUGUUUUUCAUUUCGAGUGCUAUGACUCAGUGCAGAAUAACCGACAAGGCAACACUCAUCGAAGAGAUAAGGACGGCAGAACACAGCACUGCGCAAAACAGGGUCAACGAGGCCAUGAAAAAUGUGGAAGGAUUUGCAAAGGCGUUCAACUGUUCGCUUCCCUCCCCAAUGAAUCCAUAUAAAAGAUGCACUUUAUGGUGACGGAGAAUUAGACGACCAAA